CCCUUAGAUGUUCUGGGCGGCCCGCGCACUACAUUGGCACUCUCAAUAAGUUCCUAGAUCUAAAACUUUGGGGUAUUCUAUUAAGUGGUGUCGUGACUGGGAUUAACCCUUGCAAUUAUUGGUUACGAACGAGGAAUUCCUUGUAAUCGCGGUUUAUCAGCCCGCGUUGAAUGCGUCCCUGCCCUUUGUACACACCGCCCGUCGCUCCUACCGAUGAAUCGUCCGGUGAAGUUCAUGGAGUGGUGGUUGUUCCAGCUGCUGUCGAAGUGAAAUGGACCUCACGAUUUAGAGGAAGGAGAAGUUGUAACA
rnacentral:rRNA from 1 species